rnacentral:misc_RNA from 1 species
UCAAACUUGGUCAUUUAGAGGAAGUAAAAGUCGUAACAAGGUCUCCGUUGGUGAACCAGCGGAGGGAUCAUUACAGAGUUUAUUAAACUCCCACAACCCAUGUGAAAACUACCUCAUGUUGCCUCGGCGGAUGAGCUCCCUGAAAGCCAACCAGCAAAUACCUACCCGGUAGGCGCUACCCGGCAACCUGUGGGAAACCCCCACAGUUAGGGGAGCCCCCACCGCCGGCGGCCCCUAAACUCUGUUUUACUUUGGAACUCUGAAUACAAAACUUAAUAAGUUAAAACUUUCAACAACGGAUCUCUUGGUUCUGGCAUCGAUGAAGAACGCAGC